rnacentral:rRNA from 1 species
UACGUAGGGUGCGAGCGUUAAUCGGAAUUACUGGGCGUAAAGCGUGCGCAGGCGGUUACAUAAGACCGAUGUGAAAUCCCCGGGCUUAACCUGGGAACUGCGUUUGUGACUGUGUGACUAGAGUACGGCAGAGGGGGGUGGAAUUCCUGGUGUAGCAGUGAAAUGCGUAGAUAUCAGGAGGAACAUCGAUGGCGAAGGCAGCCCCCUGGGCCUGUACUGACGCUCAUGCACGAAAGCGUGGGGAGCAAACAGG